rnacentral:rRNA from 1 species
CGGGGCAACUCGGUGAGUACAGCGGCGGAAGGGUGCGUAAUACAUGGAUAACGUACCCCCCAGUUCGGGAUAACCGUCCGAAAGGUCGGCUAAUACCGGGUAAUGGCAACGGGUGGCAUCAUCUGUUGCUUAAAGACGCAAGUCGCUGGGGGAGCGAUCCAUGGCCUAUCAGCUAGUUGGCGGGGUAACGGCCCACCAAGGCAAUGACGGGUAGCCGGACUGAGAGGUUGAACGGCCACACGGGAACUGAGACACGGUCCCGACAUCUACGGAUGGCAGCAGUAGGGAAUCUUGCGCAAUGGGCGAAAGCCUGACGCAGCGACACCGCGUGGGGGAUGAAGGCCUUCGGGUUGUAAACCCCUUUCAUGAGGGAAGAACACUGACCUAACCUCAGGAAGAAGCACCGGCUAACUCCGUGCCAGCAGCUGCGGUAAUACGGAGAGUGCAAACGUUGUUCGGAUUCACUGGGCGUAAAGGGCACGUAGGCGGCUCGGCAAAUCGGUCGUGGAAUCCCGACGCUUACCGUCGGAACGGCGGCCGAAAAUACCGGGCUCGAGGGCGUGAGGGGUCACUGGAACUCCUGGUGAAGCGGUGAAAUGCGUAGAUAUCAGGAGGAACGCCGGAGGCGAAAGCGAGUGACUGGCGCGUUCCUGACGCUGAGGUGCGAAAGCUAGGGGAGCAAACAGGAUUAGAUACCCUGGUAGUCCUAGCCGUAAACGAUGGACACUGAGUGGAGGAGGGCUUGCCCUUCUCUGCUGCAGCU